ensembl:lncRNA
ACCAGGCCGGAUCAGUGGUCAUUAUUUUUGGUCUUCCUCCUCAAUUUCUGAACCCUAACAGUUGCUUGCUUCAGGUUUGGAUAAGAAUGAUCUGGAAAGUCAGAAAGAAGUGGAGAUAAGAAUGGAAAGAUUUAAGACCACUUUGAAGAAAGGAAAUCUGACUCCAAAAGAUUUAGCAAAGGCAGAACAAGCUAUUAUUCAAUAUGCACAACAACAGAAAUUUAAAACUGAAAUAGUUUAAUCAGCAAUGGCCUCAAAGGAGUCUCCAAGGGAAGUUGUCUCUGCAAACUUGAUCCAGUAUUGGAUGUGGGAAUCCUCAGAGUGGGUGGCCGAUUGAAUAAAGCAGCCAUGUGUAUGGAAGUAAAGCAUCCUGCAAUUUUGACAAAGGAUAUGCAUGUGUCAACACUGAUUUUACGCCAUAUCCAUCAAAGGUUGGGACAUGCAGGAAGAGCGCACAUGCUGUCAAAACUGAGGCAAAAAUACUGGAUAGUAAAUGCAAAUUCUGCUGCCAGGAAAAUCAUCUCUUGUUGUAUCACGUGUAGACGCAACAGAGGAAAGUUUGUUGAACAAAAGAUGGCGGAUCUGCCUGGAGAGAGAGUCCUGCCAGACACAGCUCCAUUCACAAAUGUUGGAGUGGACUAUUUUGGACCUAUAAGUGUUAAAAGAGGACGAAGUCUCCUUAAAAGGUAUGGAGUUCUUUUUACUUGUUUGACCAGUCGUGCAGUACAUCUGGAGAUUGCAUGUACACUUGAUACAGACUCCUGUAUAAAUGCUGUGCGGAGGUUCAUCUGUAGACGAGGCCCAGUUUCGACCAUCAGGUCUGAUAAUGCUACAAAUUUUGUUGGGGCGAAUCGAGAGUUGAAAGAAAGUUUGACUGAGCUGAACCAUGCUAAAAUUUAAAAGGCUUUUGUUCAGGAUGGAAUGAAAUGGAACUUUGACAUCCCAGCAGCCUCUCACCAAGGCGGUGUGUGGGAGCGCCUCAUUCGUUCAAUAAAGAGUAUUUUAGCCUCAGUUCUCAAAGAACAAGUUUUGGAUGAUGAAGGACUCCAAACAGUCUUCUGUGAGACUGAAGCUAUAGUGAACGACAGACCCAUUACUAGAGUUUCAGAUGACUCAAAUGAUCUUGAAGCACUGACACCCAAUCACUUGUUGUUGCUGAAAAACAAACCAGUUUUACCACCAGGACUGUUUGAUCCAACUGAUCUUCAUGUCAGGAAAAGGUGGAAACAGGUGUUUAUGGGUGUGUGCAUGUGUGUGAGGGUGCCGUCGUGG